GGCGAUCGGAUAAUCGCUGCUCCCGCUGCGGGGUGGAGGAAAGUCCGGGCUUCCCAGGAACACGAUACCGGAUAACGUCCGGGCGGGGCAACCCAACGGAAAGUGUCGCAGAAAACAAACCACCGCGCCUUGUGCGUGGAACGGGUGAAAAGGCGGGGUAAAAGCCCACCGCACCGGUGGCAACACGGGUGGCAGGAUAAACCCUAUCGGAAGCAAGACUAAAAUACAGUGUCCGAAAGUUCCUUUCGUAAAAUAGGUGUUCCUGCCUAGACACAAUGAGGUAAGUCGCUAGAAGCGGUUUGUAAAAACCGUUCCAGACGAAUGAUUAUCAAGACAAAACCCGGCUUAUAGACCGCCUG
rnacentral:RNase_P_RNA from 1 species